rnacentral:rRNA from 1 species
UUAAAAAGCUCGUAGUUGGAUUUCUGUUGAGGGCGACCGGUGUACACCUCGUGUAUUAUUUGGUUCGGUCUCGGCAUCCUCUUGGGGAACGUUUCUGGACUUUAUUGGACAGGGCGAGAUUCAAGACUUUUACUUUGAGGAAAUUAGAGUGUUCACGGCAGGCAAGCGCUUUGAAUACAUUAGCAUGGAAUAAUAAUAUAGGACCUUCGUUCUAUUUUGUUGGUUUCUAGAACUUAGGUAAUGAUUAAUAGGGACAAUUGGGGGCAUUCGUAUUAACGCGUCAGAGGUGGAAUUCUUGGAUUGCGUUACGACGAACUACUGCGAAAGCAUUUGCCAAAGAUGUUUUCAUUGAUCAAGAACGAAAGUAUGGGGAUCGAAGACGCUUAGAUACCGUCGUAGUCUAUACCAUAAACUAUGCCAACUAGAGAUUGGAGGGGUUCUCCUAUUUGGCUCCUUCAGCAUCUUAUGAGAAAUCAAAGUCUUUGGGUUUCCGGGGGGGAGUAUGGUCGCAA